rnacentral:rRNA from 1 species
UACGUAGGGUGCGAGCAUUAAUCGGAAUUACUGGGCGUAAAGCGUGCGCAGGCGGUUCGUCGUGUCCGAUGUGAAAGCCCCGGGCUCAACCUGGGAAUGGCAUUGGAAACUGGCGGACUCGAGUGUGGCAGAGGGGGGUGGAAUUCCGCGUGUAGCAGUGAAAUGCGUAGAGAUGCGGAGGAACACCGAUGGCGAAGGCAGCCCCCUGGGCUAACACUGACGCUCAGGCACGAAAGCGUGGGGAGCAAACAGG